ACCAUGUCCUAAUUUAACCUUAAUUAAAACUAUAAUAGACUUCAAUCAAAUCUUAAAUCAAAUCCUAAAUUCUAAAUCUUAAGUAAAUCCUAAAUCCUAAAUAUUAAACCCUAAGUAAAUUCCAAUCUAAAUCCUAAAUCCUAAUCCAAUACUUAAUCCUAAUCAAACUUUAACCAAACUCUAGCACAAUUUAGAACCUCAAUAUCUAUCAAUUAAUCUAUUCAUCUUAUUCAAAGCUUUAUGUAAUUUUUAAAAACUAAAUUAGU
rnacentral:lncRNA from 1 species